rnacentral:rRNA from 1 species
GUCCGGGCCGUUGCAAUUGACUCCGCGAGAGGUUCCUGUUCCCUGGCGGAGAGAGAGAGGCAGGGAGGGAGAGGAAGGAGAGACCGAAGGCCGCGGUGUUUUUACCCCGUCUCUUCCUCCGCCUUCGAGCUUUACUGAAACUCCGAUCUCAGAAACCAAGAAAAGGGGAUCUGUGAAGAGGUUUCUCGCGGCAGAACAAUGGAGGUACUUGGCAAAUCUGUGAUUGCUGAGCCCAGCAAUGUGAUUUUCUUGUCCACUAUUCUGAACACAGAAGGGGAAAUCCCCAGUCACAAGUGUGACAAGAGGUGCCAGAAUGAGCACAUCUUUGGAAACAUGUACCGCUGUAAACUGACUGGAAUGACACAUAUUUGUGACAAAAACUGUAACCAGAGGAUCCUCUAUGACAACCACAACUCGCUUUGCCGAGUGAGUGGGCAGUUGUUCCCGCUCUCGCCACUGGAGCUGCAGGCAGUGAGGGGGAUUCGGAGGAAGCAUGAAGCUGACAGCCAUGAAGGGUGCUCCUUCAAGCGCAGGCGUGGUGCACAGCUGCAUCCUUCCCCUUUUGAGAGGUCCUACUCCGCCGUGUCUCCGAUACCGAGCCAAGCUGGAGAUGGCAUGGACCUGAGCUAGAGCUAACGAGACUUCCAUCUUUUCUUGCCCCGGCUACCUUAUGCGGAUGUCUACUCCAUUUCCCCUUCUUUGACACGAUGGAAACUAUAAGAGCUUCCUUCUUUAUAGACUUAUGAAGGGAUAUGAGACUCCUUAGAGGCACUAAAUAAUGUCUAUGUAGUAUCAAUUCAGUUUCAUGGGACCUUGUUGUAAUCGUAACUUCGAUUGAACAGCCUAUUCUGAAUUACUUAGUGUUAAUCAUUUGCUAUUACCGUUUAGAUUAUUUCUCUAUAGUGCGGUGCUCUUGUUUCCUCCAACUUUUCAUUAUUGUAGCUCCUUUCUUUCUUAUGCUCUCUUGAGGUUCAUUAUCUGCUGCAUUUAAGUGCAUUCAAGCUGUGCAAAUUUGCUUGACAUAGUUGGUGAUGUAUAUCCGUUGCAGACAUUAUCGUAUUUCUUGGGGCGUGAACUUACUAACUAAAUUUCCUUCAUAAUUAGUGCUUUGCAUGGCAGGUUGCUGAUCAGGUCUCAGCUAUUUAUGGUGAAUUGGUGUUCGUUCUUUCGCUCUUCUUGGUCCAUGGGAGGCAGGAGCUAUGGAAGAUCAUUGAAAUCCUUUGCAGCAGUGGAAUAGCAAUGUACCAUCAAAGUCUUCGGCUGCAGAAUGCUUUUCAGUGCAUUGUGCACAACAGAAAUCAUCAGCAGAAGAGGGGUUUGGAAUUAUUCAAACAAGAGCCAGCCUGAAGCAACUGAAACUUCAAAACUCAUACUGGAGAAGAGCCUGCAGGAGCUUGAUAUCGCAUUGCUGCUGCGGUGGGAGAAGUCUACUCCAGUAUCUGCCAUCUGCGAUCCAAAGCAAAACUCUCUGUAGAUCUAGUUGAGUAUCCACCAUCUGCGAUCCAAACCAAGAUAGAUCUCUGAAGAUAUAGUUGAGUAUCCACCAUCUGCGAUCCAAACCAAGAUGUCUGAAGAUCUCAACAGAUUUUAGUGUCCCUAAUCCAACAAGCUUGUUCUCAACGCAAACUUAUACUGCCGUGGAAUUUCCUUUUUCCAUUCUAAAAGGGAUUAGGUCAUGAUUGUUCAUUGUAAGGCAAUUAUAUCCAGAGUAAAGGGAACUUUCCUUCUGCCUCAAGUUUUGUUGAUUCCCA